rnacentral:rRNA from 1 species
UUAAAUGACUCUUGUCAACGGAUAUUUUGGGCUCUCGCAUGGAUGAAGAACGUAGGGAAAUCAGAUACUUGGUGUGAAUUGCAAAAUCCCGUGAACCAUAGAGUCUUUUAAAACAAGUUGCGCUUGAAGCCGUUAGGCCGAGGGCACCUCUUCCUGCG